rnacentral:rRNA from 1 species
UACCAGCACCCCGAGUGGUCGGGACGAUUAUUGGGCCUAAAGCAUCCGUAGCCGGUUCUACAAGUCUUCCGUUAAAUCCACCUGCUUAACAGAUGGGCUGCGGAAGAUACUAUAGAGCUAGGAGGCGGGAGAGGCAAGCGGUACUCGAUGGGUAAGGGGUAAAAUCCGUUGAUCCAUUGAAGACCACCAGUGGCGAAGGCGGCUUGCCAGAACGCGCUCGACGGUGAGGGAUGAAAGCAUGGG